GCGCCCAUGACGAUGAGCAGCAGGAAGACGAUGAGCGGGUGCUGCUGGCUCAUGCAGUAGUAGGACUCGUACAGCCAGUCCCGGGACCGCCGCAGCCCGUCGCCGCCGCCCGCCUCCUCGGCGCGGUCCCGCAGCAAUUGAAUGAAACUGUCUUUGGGCUGGUGGUCUGCAGCCCCAACCUCUCCUUGCUGGCCCUUCUGCUCAUACCACUUGGACUGCAGACUGUAACCAGAUCAGAGAGCCGAGCCUGCUAGCUGGUGACAGUAAACAGUACUCCCAUCUGGCCUGCGUGCACAGCCUGCAGGUGCAGGCUUGAGGACAAGCAGGCAGGCUUCCCACCCAGGAGCUGCAGGCCACCUCUCCCCUCCUAAUUUGGUCAUCUUUCACACACACUGUGACACACCUGA